GAAGAUGACGAGUGGCGGACGGGUGAGUAAUGCUUGGGAACUUGCCUUUGCGAGGGGGAUAACAGUUGGAAACGACUGCUAAUACCGCAUAAUGUCUUCGGACCAAACGGGGCUUCGGCUCCGGCGCAAAGAGAGGCCCAAGUGAGAUUAGCUAGUUGGUAAGGUAACGGCUUACCAAGGCGACGAUCUCUAGCUGUUCUGAGAGGAAGAUCAGCCACACUGGGACUGAGACACGGCCCAGACUCCUACGGGAGGCAGCAGUGGGGAAUAUUGCACAAUGGGGGAAACCCUGAUGCAGCCAUGCCGCGUGUGUGAAGAAGGCCUUCGGGUUGUAAAGCACUUUCAGUUGUGAGGAAAAGUUAGUAGUUAAUACCUGCUAGCCGUGACGUUAACAACAGAAGAAGCACCGGCUAACUCCGUGCCAGCAGCCGCGGUAAUACGGAGGGUGCGAGCGUUAAUCGGAAUUACUGGGCGUAAAGCGCACGCAGGCGGUUUGUUAAGCUAGAUGUGAAAGCCCCGGGCUCAACCUGGGAUGGUCAUUUAGAACUGGCAGACUAGAGUCUUGGAGAGGGGAGUGGAAUUCCAGGUGUAGCGGUGAA
rnacentral:rRNA from 1 species